rnacentral:rRNA from 1 species
CAGCAGUAGCCGCGGUAAAACGGAGGGGGCUAGCGUUGUUUGGAAUUAUUGGGCGUAAAGGGUGCGUAGGCGGUUUGGCAAGUUUGGUGUGAAAUCUUCGGGCUCAACUCGAAGUCUGCAUCGAAAACUGCCGGGCUUGAGUAUGGGAGAGGUGAGUGGAAUUUCCGGUGUAGCGGUGAAAUGCGUAGAUAUCGGAAGGAACACCUGUGGCGAAAGCGGCUCACUGGACCAUAACUGACGCUGAUGCACGAAAGCUAGGGGAGCAAACAGGAUUAGAUACCCGCGUAGUCCCUGUCUCUUAUAC